rnacentral:rRNA from 1 species
UCAUUACCGAGUUUACAACUCCCAAACCCCUGUGAACAUACCAAUUGUUGCCUCGGCGGAUCAGCCCGCUCCCGGUAAAACGGGACGGCCCGCCAGAGGACCCCUAAACUCUGUUUCUAUAUGUAACUUCUGAGUAAAACCAUAAAUAAAUCAAAACUUUCAACAACGGAUCUCUUGGUUCUGGCAUCGAUGAAGAACGCAGCAAAAUGCGAUAAGUAAUGUGAAUUGCAGAAUUCAGUGAAUCAUCGAAUCUUUGAACGCACAUUGCGCCCGCCAGUAUUCUGGCGGGCAUGCCUGUUCGAGCGUCAUUUCAACCCUCAAGCCCAGCUUGGUGUUGGGACUCGCGAGUCAAAUCGCGUUCCCCAAAUUGAUUGGCGGUCACGUCGAGCUUCCAUAGCGUAGUAGUAAAACCCUCGUUACUGGUAAUCGUCGCGGCCACGCCGUUAAACCCCAACUUCUGAAUGUUGACCUCGGAUCAGGUAGGAAUACCCGCUGAACUUAAGCAUAUCAUA